rnacentral:rRNA from 1 species
GAUGAACGCUGGCGGCGUGCUUAACACAUGCAAGUCGAACGGUGAAGCUCCAGCUUGCUGGAGGGGAUCAGUGGCGAACGGGUGAGUAACACGUGAGCAACCUGCCCCUGACUCUGGGAUAACAGCCGGAAACGGCUGCUAAUACCCGAUAUGCACCAUGAACGCAUGUUCUGUGGUGGGAAAGAUGGUUGGGUUGGGGAUGGGCUCGCGGCUUAUCAGCUUGUUGGUGAGGUAAGGGCUCACCAAGGCGUCGACGGGUAGCCGACCUGAGAGGGUGAACGGCGACAAUGGGACUGAGGCACGGCCCAGACUGCUACGGGAGGCAGCAGUGGGGAAUAUUGCACAGUAGGCGAGAGCCUGAUGCAACAGCGCCGCGUGAGGAAUGACGGCCUUCGGGUUGUGAACCUCUUUUAGCAGAGAAGAAGCGAGAGUGACGGUACCUGCAGAAAAAGCGCCGGCUAACUACGUG